GUUUGUAGCUCUAUACAUGCUGAUCAUAUGAACAUAUGUUAUAUUUUGUGGGAUAUUUGUUAGUUUGAAACUUGAUUAUUGUUUUGUUGAUUGAUUGAUUUAUUUUUAUUUUCCUUCCCUUUUUGUUUUCUAGAGCUGAAUUUUGAUGGAAAAUUGAGAUGUUGAUAGAUGAUGAGAAAGGGCAUUGAUGCAUAGUGUAGCACAUAUGAUUGAUACCAAUUGAAUUGAUUGCUUGAGAUGGGAUUGGAAGCUUAGCUUCUCCCAAAUCCAUAGUGUUACAAUGUUUAUGCAUGUUUAGAGAG
rnacentral:misc_RNA from 1 species